rnacentral:lncRNA from 12 species
UUCCUACUUUAUAUUUAAAGUCUAUAAAUAGCUAUAAAUAUCUAUAUAACCCCCUUUGGAAAAAUCCCCUUUUUUCUAUGGAGAUCGUUGCCUUACACUCCCCCCUCUCCCAGAUCCCAACCCUGUGGAUCAUGAGUGCUUUUUUAAUCUAUUUAAUCCCCUGGAUUUCUCACCCAAAACUCAUUUUUUCCCUUCCUCUCACGGCCAAUUCUUCUCUCCCAAUUUUUAUUUUCGAGCAACGUUGGCAUUCUCCCCCUUUUUUUUUUUUUUUUUCUUUUUUUGUUUGGUUUGGAAUUUUGAGACUUCACCCUUUUUUUUGUUUGGUUUGGAAUUUUGAGACUUCCCCCUUUUUUUUUUAUUUUAUUUUUUUUUUAUUUCCCCUUUUUUUUUCCUGCCCCGUGUGUGAACUCCCCCUUGUGUACAGUGUACAUUGUAUCAUAGAUUAUAUUGCUUUGGAGCUUUUAAAUUAAAACAAAAAUCCACUUUAUUUUUUAGUUGUUGUGCCCACCUGAGGGCGUUUUCCCUGGAUUAUGUGACGGAUCUGUUCCCAGUUUUCUGAGCUGUACCCGGAGGCAGCCGGGAGCUUUUCCUUGCUAAAUAAAUUUAGUCACCAGAGGCAAAUCCAGGCUCCUUUUCUUUUUAUUUUUUUGUUGUGGAAAAGUGGGAUUGGUGGAUGGGAAUGGCUAAAACUGACGGAAUUUGAGGGUUUUUUUUUGCAGGAAAUUUGCUGCUGGUUGUGCUCCCCCUGUUGCUGUGAGCUGCUGGGUCAGGGGUGAGGGUUUGUCCCCAAAUUCCUGUCGCUUGUCAGGACAUCCCAAAUGUCCCAUCCCCACUUUCCCAAUGUCCCCAAAUCCCUGUCCUUUGUCACGACAUCCCAAAUGUCCCAUCCCUAUUUUGUUUCCAGUGUUCCCAAAUUCCUGUCCUUUGUCACAGCAUCCCAAAUGUCCCAUCCCUGUUUUCUGUCUCUAAUAUCCCCAAAUCCCUGUCCUUUGUCACAGCAUCCCAAAUGUCCCAUCCCCACUUUCCCAAUGUCCCCAAAUCCCUGUCCUGCCAUUUCCCUGUGCUUGUCACAGCAUCCCAAAUAUCACAUCACGUCCUCCCUGUCCCCAAUGUCCCCCUUGUCAGGACAUCCCAAAUGUCCCAUCCCCACUUUCCCAAUGUCCCCAAAUCCCUGUCCUUUGUCAGGACAUCCCAAAUGUCCCAUCCCUGUUUUGUUUCCAGUGUCCCCAAAUCCCUGUCCUUUUGUCACAGCAUCCCAAAUAUCCCAUUCCCUUCUUCUCUGUCCCCAAUAUCCCCAAAUCCCUGUCCUUUGUCAUAACAUCCCAAAUGUCCCAUCCCUGUUUUCUGUCUCUAAUAUCCCCAAAUCCCUGUCCUUUGUCAGGACAUCCCAAAUGUCCCAUCCCUGUUUUCUGUCUCCAAUGUCCCCAAAUCCCUGUCCUUUGUCACAACAUCCCCACCUUCCCUGUCCCAAACUGUCC